GAUGAAGAACGUAGCGAAAUGCGAUAAGUAGUGUGAAUUGCAGAAUUCAGUGAAUCAUCGAAUCUUUGAACGCACAUUGCGCCCCUUGGUAUUCCAUGGGGCAUGCCUGUUCGAGCGUCAUUUGUACCUUCAAGCUUUGCUUGGUGUUGGGUGUUUGUCUCGCCUUUGCGUGUAGACUCGCCUUAAAAUAAUUGGCAGCCGGCGUAUUGAUUUCGGAGCGCAGUACAUCUCGCGCUUGCACUCAUAACGACAGCGUCCAAAAGUACAUUUUACACUCUUGACCUCGGAUCAGGUAGGGAUACCCGCUGAACUUAAGCAUAUCAAUAAGCGGAGGA
rnacentral:misc_RNA from 1 species